rnacentral:rRNA from 1 species
UUAUUAAAAACAUGGCCUAUUGUAAAAAAUUUUAGGUCUGACCUGCCCCAUGAUUUAAGUAUUUAAUGGCCGCGGUAUUUUGACCGUGCAAAGGUAGCAUAAUCAUUAGUUUUUUAAUUGAAAGCUUGUAUGAAGGGUUUGAUGAGAAAAUAGCUGUCUCUGAUUAAAUUUAGUAAAACUUUAUUUUUAAGUAAAAAAGCUUAAAUAUUUAUAGAAGACGAGAAGACCCUAUAGAGUUUGAUAGAUUUAAUCAAUAAAUAUAGUUUAGUAUUUAAGAUUUUAUUGGUAAAUUUAUUUAAUUGGGGUGAUUAAAAAAUUAAAUAAACUUUUUAUUAAUAGAAACAUUAAUAAGUGAAUAUUUGAUCCUAGAAAAGAUUAUAAGAAGAAAUUACCUUAGGGAUAACAGCGUAAUUUUUUUUAGAGUUCUAAUCGAAAAAAAAGUUUGCGACCUCGAUGUUGGAUUAAAAUUUAUAUUGGUGUAGAAGCUAAUAAAGAAGGUCUGUUCGACCUUUAAAAUUUUACAUGAUCUGAGUUUAAACCGGUGUGAGCC